rnacentral:lncRNA from 1 species
AAAUAAUGCAACACUUUUGAUUGUUCAGGUACAAAACAACUAUUUUCACAUUUGGAAAAUUAUCAUUAAAAUGCAGAAAAAAAUCCAGAUCCACAUCCUUGUUUUCUAAAUUUAAGCCAUUGAAAAUUUGAUGGGAAAUGAUUAUCUCUACAUUUUUUUUUUCAAACAUUUAACAGUAAUAAGCUUCUUAAUACUUGAAAUAAAUAAUAAGGAUUUUAAAACAUUGUAUAAAUGACUUUUUAGAUACAUUUAAUAAAACAACAUGGAUAAACCAAGAGAUUUCCAAAUAUCUGACAAAACAGAAAGCAACAUGAGGAGCAAACAGCCUUAACACAUAUGAUGACAAUUUUAUCUUUGAUUCAAAUUUAAAGGUGACUUAUUUUGAUAAAGAACAUCUAUAUAUCUAUGAUAUAUUUAAGGGAUACAAUGGUGAUUGAAUCAUUGAUUCAAAUUUAAAAGUGAUUGAUUCUUAUACAAGUGUAUACAUUGUAUACUGUCUUGCAGUAGAAAUGAUGACCUAUAGAUUAACAAAUAUGUCUUAAAAGAUCAAUCAAUUACAUACAUACAAUAUAUAAACAAUUUAUGAUGAAAUAUGACUGGAUUAAACUCAUCAAUAAAAGACAAACAUUUAAGGUACCACAAUACAAAGAUUUUAUAUCUCCUAUUCCCCAGUUUUAAAAUGCUUUAACUUUCUUUGUAAUGCUUCAAAAGUUAUAAAAGUGGUUUUGAUGGAUAGCUAACAGAUUACUCUUUCAAAUUAAUGCAAUGCUAGUAUUAUCCAACAAUUGUGUAAUCAAUUAUAAUGUUAACUGUGUCUACAAAAUUUUACAAAAAUUUUCCACUUUCAAUUGGAAUUAGCUUAUUCAUGGAUACCUCGAGAGGGUUGGUUUCAUAAUAUGUUGUUCCUAGAGCCAUUAUUACGAAAAGGUGUCUCAAAUUUUGGAUAUAACGUAUAGAUCAAGUUUAACAUCUUAUCAAACAUUAUCUACUUUUAUGUGGUAAGGAUGUUUACACUAAUUAGAGAUUUAUGAGAGAAUGGAAUACGAUAGCAAUAAUUUGAGACACCCUUUUGUAGCUCCUGUUGUGUUGAUUAAGAUUUCGUUGAAAUUUCCUGUAUAGUUAUAGAGAUGAUAGAGCUAAACUCAUUCAAGUAAACUGAUACCGAUUUUGCCAUUAAUUGCAUAAUAAUUGAUUGCAUAAUGAUUGCAUAACAAAAAUAUUGCAUUCAUUUAAAAGACUAAUCUUUUAUCUAUCUAUAUAUACCUCUUUUAUUAAUGUAUAGGCAGUCUUAAGAAAGAAACAGCAUUUUAAAGGUUGGAGAUUUGAAGUAAACAAAUCUUUGUAUUGUGCUACUGUAAUCAACAAAUAAAGCAAUAUUUAUCAAUAACUACUAGUUAGAUUAACUAACCAUAACUUGUAACAUUCUGGCACUUCAAAUACUGAACACAAUUUACAUAUACAUAUACUAUUUAUAUUUCAUAUAAUGAACAAAUGACUGUUUUCGUGGUGUCCAAUUUUGAC